AUGAACGCUGGCGGCGUGCUUAACACAUGCAAGUCGAACGCGCAGCCUCCUUCGGGAGGUGGGCGAGUGGCGAACGGGUGCGUAACACGUAGGAAUCUGCCCCAGAGAGGGGGAUAACCGCUGGAAACGGUGGCUAAUCCCGCAUACCCUCGCGAGAGGAAAGCUCAGGCGCUCUGGGAUGAGCCUGCGGCCUAUCAGGUAGUUGGUGGGGUAACGGCCUACCAAGCCGACGACGGGUAGGGGGCGUGAGAGCGUGGCCCCCCACACGGGAACUGAGACACGGUCCCGACGCCUACGGGCGGCAGCAGUGAGGAAUCUUGCACAAUGGGGGCAACCCUGAUGCAGCGACGCCGCGUGCGGGAAGAAGGCCUUCGGGUCGUAAACCGCUUUUCUGUGGGAAGAGGAAGGACGGUACCGCAGGAAUAAGUCCCGGCUAACUACGU
rnacentral:rRNA from 1 species